rnacentral:rRNA from 1 species
CUGUUUUUUAGCUAUUCCCUGCCCCAUGUAAAUAGAUAAAUGGCCUCCUGAGCUAAGGUAGCAUAAUAAAUUUUAAGUUAAUUACUUAAUAGAAUGAAAGCGAAUACUGGGAGUCAAAAAUUUAAAUCGCAACUACCGAAACUAAAUUAAAAGUGAAAUUUCUUUUAAAAUUCACAUAGAAGAGAAGACCCUAAAACUUUUUAAGACUGAGUCAGACGAGUCGCUGAAAAUUAAUUGGGGUAAUUAACUAAAAUAAUAAACUCUAGUUUUCAAGAAAAGAGCCUUAAGGAUUAAAUGUGCAAAGUACUUUAGGGAUAACAGCGCCGCGGCUAAAAAAGUUCUCAUUAAAAAAGCCAAUAGCGACAUCGAUGUUGAAUUAAGAACUAAGCGCAGAAGCUAAUAAGUCUGUUCGACUUAUUUUUCUU